CAGUAGCCACGGUAAUACGAAGGGUGCAAGCGUUACUCGGAAUUACUGGGCGUAAAGCGUGCGUAGGUGGUGGUUUAAGUCCGUUGUGAAAGCCCUGGGCUCAACCUGGGAAUUGCAGUGGAUACUGGAUCACUAGAGUGUGGUAGAGGAUAGUGGAAUUUCCGGUGUAGCAGUGAAAUGCGUAGAGAUCGGAAGGAACAUCUGUGGCGAAGGCGACUAUCUGGGCCAACACUGACACUGAGGCACGAAAGCGUGGGGAGCAAACAGGAUUAGAUACCCGGGUAGUCCCUGUCUCUUAUAC
rnacentral:rRNA from 1 species